rnacentral:rRNA from 1 species
GGCGGCAUGCCUUACACAUGCAAGUCGAACGGUAACAGGGAGCUUGCUCCGCUGACGAGUGGCGAACGGGUGAGUAAUAUAUCGGAACGUACCUUUGAGUGGGGGAUAACUAGUCGAAAGACUAGCUAAUACCGCAUACGAUCUACGGAUGAAAGUGGGGGAUCGCAAGACCUCAUGCUCAUAGAGCGGCCGAUAUCUGAUUAGCUAGUUGGUGAGGUAAAGGCUCACCAAGGCAUCGAUCAGUAGCUGGUCUGAGAGGACGACCAGCCACACUGGGACUGAGACACGGCCCAGACUCCUACGGGAGGCAGCAGUGGGGAAUUUUGGACAAUGGGGGCAACCCUGAUCCAGCAAUGCCGCGUGAGUGAAGAAGGCCUUCGGGUUGUAAAGCUCUUUUGUCAGGGAAGAAACGGGAUGUCCUAAUACGAUGUCCUAAUGACGGUACCUGAAGAAUAAGCACCGGCUAACUACGUGCCAGCAGCCGCGGUAAUACGUAGGGUGCA